AUUCUGUUCAUGAAGUGUGUGCAUAUCUUCAUAUUAUUUUGCGCCAGAGUGGCUUGAUUAUGAAUAAAAUUCCAUUAGCUGAAAUAAUGGAAAAACUGGCGCAAAAUAGUAUGAAGGAUGAAGAGCAGAAACCGACCACGAACGCUUCCACACAAACGGAAAGGCCGAAAACGGAGCAUUUCCACUCAAACGGAAAAGACGACGGAAAUAAACAGCAUCGGAUAAGCCGCGGCGAACACCGGAGAAGCCGCGGCGGACAUCCGAGAAGAAACAGAGAAGAAUAAUGUAGGCACAUCAAAUUAUAUAAAUUUGACAGAAUUCGAUCUGUAACUUUAGAAAUAAAGGAUUUUCUUAUUCUAUGUACCCAG
rnacentral:lncRNA from 1 species